CGGAGUGAAGCAGAUUACGCGGAGCACUUGAAGGCAGCGUUCCCCUCCAGGUAUAACUCAUCUCUCUGACCCCAACAGUAGAACUGACGACCCCAACCAGUCAGAGAAAAGAUAUGUGGUCACAUGACGACCAAGGCUGUAUUAACUAUGCUUCCUGGUGGGUUGGAUGAUUGAACCUGUGUCUGUCUGGAUGUGAGGAUAAGACCUGACUUUACUGGUGAUCCCACCUCUUCCUCUGGGAUACACAAGGAGAUCAUUUGAAUCCAAGAUGUCUGAAGAGGAAGUUGAGGAGAUGCAAGACAAAGGGGUAGAAACGCAGCAAGAGGAAGGUAAGGACUUCUGCGUGCGCG